rnacentral:sRNA from 1 species
GCCCAGGAUAGCCAAGGCCAGGCGAACGCCGGGGACCCUGCCCGGUUUCCUGGGCCCCACCAACAGGG